GACGAACGCUGGCGGCGUGCCUAAUACAUGCAAGUCGAGCGCAGGAAACUGACGGAACUCUUCGGAGGGAAGGCAGCGGAAUGAGCGGCGGACGGGUGAGUAACACGUAAGGAACCUGCCUCAAGGAUUGGGAUAACUCCGAGAAAUCGGAGCUAAUACCGGAUAGUUCAACGGACCGCAUGGUCCGCUGAUGAACGGCGCUUCGGCGUCACCUUGAGAUGGCCUUGAGGUGCAUUAGCUAGUUGGUGGGGUAACGGCCCACCAAGGCGACGAUGCAUAGACGACCUGAGAGGGUGAUCGGCCACACUGGGACUGAGACACGGCCCAGACUCCUACGGGAGGCAGCAGUAGGGAAUCUUCCACAAUGGACGAAAGUCUGAUGGAGCAACGCCGCGUGAGUGAUGAAGGUUUUCGGAUCGUAAAACUCUGUUGUAAGGGAAGAACACGUACGAGAGGAAAUGCUCGUACCUUGACGGUACCUUACGAGAAAGCCACGGCUAACUACGUGCCAGCAGCCGCGGUAA
rnacentral:rRNA from 1 species